GAACCAGUACCGUGAGGGAAAGGUGAAAAGUACCCCGGGAGGGGAGUGAAAAGAACAUGAAACCAUAAACUUACAAGCAGUAGGAGGACGACUAAAACGUCUAACUUCGUGCCUGUUGAAGAAUGAGCCGGCGACUUAUAAGUAGUGGCAGGUUAAAGCAGAGAAUGCUGAAGCCAUAGUGAAAGCGAGCCUGAAUAGGGCGUACGUCACUGUUUAUAGACCCGAACCCGGAUGAUCUAACCAUGGCCAGGUUGAAGCUUAGGUAAUACUAAGUGGAGGACCGAACCGACUGAUGUUGAAAAAUCAGCGGAUGAGUUGUGGUUAGGGGUGAAAUGCCAAUCGAAUUCGGAGCUAGCUGGUUCUCCCCGAAAUGCGUUUUGGCGCAGCGGUAAAUGUUAUAAUUUAGGGGUAAAGCACUGUUACGUAUGCGGGCUGGUAAUUCGGUACCAAAUCGAGGCAAACUCUGAAUACUAAGUGAACAGUUAACCAGUAAGACUGUGGGGGAUAAGCUUCAUAGUCAAGAGGGAAACAGCCCAGAUCACCAGUUAAGGCCCCUAAAUAAUUAUUAAGUGGUAAAGGAGGUGGGAAGACUCAGACAGCCAGGAGGUUUGCUUAGAAGCAGCAAUCCUUUAAAGAGUGCGUAAUAGCUCACUGGUCUAGUAAUCCUGCGCCGAAAAUGAACGGGACUUAAAUAAUUUGCCGAAGCUGUG
rnacentral:rRNA from 1 species